ACUUAACUAAUCAACGCUAUAGCACAAUUUCUGCACGUUCUAUAAAUUUUUAAAUAAAUUGAAACAUUUAGGUAGUCAGCUUUAAUAUGAGAGAUCUUAGCAAUUUUUAAAGUAAAUGCACUGAAGAGGAUACUUAUUUAAAUAAAAGAUUAUUUACUUAGUACCUUUUGUAUCAGGGAAUUCUUAAAAUUUAAUUAAAUCACUGUUUCGAGAAUAAUUGAUUUACUAAUGAGUUAAUAUGCAUAUUGCAGGAUGCUCUGAAUCUUUAGUAGAGGUGAUAAUCUUACGACAUUUUUGGUAUCUAAUUCAUUAAUAAAGAAUUUUAGAUUCUUUUUUAGGUUAUAAAAGUUUAAAAGAGAUAAUUUUUUUAAAUUUAUAAAAUAAGAUAAAAUUUCGAUAGAUUAGGCUUUAAAUUAGCCAUAUUAGUAAAAUGUUAUAAAUAAGUUGAAUUUAAUAAAUUCAUUUAUUUACAAAAGUGUAUAUUAUUAAUACAAAUUUGAUAAAAAAUAUGGAGUUAUUAGUAUAUAAGUUAGACAAAUAUUCUGAAUUCGGCAAUUACUUAUUGACUGUUUAUCAAAAACUUUUCUUUAUUAAUUAUGUGAAGUAUAGCCUGCCCAGUGAAACUUAAACGGCCGCAGUAUCUUGACUGUGCUAAGGUAGCGUAAUCAUUUGUCUCUUAAUUGGAAACUGUAUGAAAGGUAUGACGAUAAGUUACUGUAGUUAGACUGUGUAUAUAAUUUUGGGUUUAAGUAAAAACUCUUAAAUUUUGUAAAGGGACGAUAAGACCCUAAAAGUUUGAUUUUAUAAUUUUAUAAAAGUUAAUUUAAAUCAAUAUCUCAAAAUUUAAAAAUUUGGCUGGGGAAGUUGACUUGUAUAAUCUUAGUUUAAGGAAAACUAAAAUCUUAGGGCUUAAGGUCUUUUAUAUAAGGAUGCUUAGAAUAAAUUACUUUAGGGAUAACAGCGUGAUAAUUUUGGAGAGUCCUUAUUGAUAAAGUUGAUUACGACCUCGAUGUUGAAUUAAGAAGUCCGGUGAAGGCAAAAGGUCACUUGGAGGGUUUGUUCAACCUUUAAUUUCUUACAUGAUUUGAGUUCAGACCGGCGUGAGCCAGGUUGGCUUCUAUCUUUUACUGUAUAAAAUAAGAUUUAGUACGAAAGGAUUACUCUUAUAGUUCAUAGCUAUUUAGUCGGGUAACAUUGAUUGACCAAAUUAUGCCUUAGAAAAUAAUUC
rnacentral:rRNA from 1 species